GAUGAACGCUGGCGGCGUGCCUAAUACAUGCAAGUCGAGCGAACGGACGAGAAGCUUGCUUUUCUGAUGUUAGCGGCGGACGGGUGAGUAACACGUGGAUAACCUACCUAUAGGACUGAGAUAACUUCGGGAAACCGGAGCUAAUACCGGAUAAUAUUUUGAACCGCAUGGUUCAAAAGUGAAAGACGGUCUUGCUGUCACUUAUAGAUGGAUCCGCGCUGCAUUAGCUAGUUGGUAAGGUAACGGCUUACCAAGGCAACGAUGCAUAGCCGACCUGAGAGGGUGAUCGGCCACACUGGAACUGAGACACGGUCCAGACUCCUACGGGAGGCAGCAGUAGGGAAUCUUCCGCAAUGGGCGAAAGCCUGACGGAGCAACGCCGCGUGAGUGAUGAAGGUCUUCGGAUCGUAAAACUCUGUUAUUAGGGAAGAACAUAUGUGUAAGUAACUGUGCACAUCUUGACGGUACCUAAUCAGAAAGCCACGGCUAACUACGUG
rnacentral:rRNA from 1 species